rnacentral:lncRNA from 1 species
AUAUUUUCAAUCUGCAAGAUCAACUAGAGACAUCAUAUUAGACAUUUUUAUUAAAUUCAAAUACUUAAUUUAAACACUAAAAUAAGAAAAACUGAAAAGUUAAACAUCAAAUUUGUAAUUUUUUCUAAAAAGAGAUGGAAGAAAAAGAAAUCAAACAAAGAGAGGAGAAAAGGCAGAGAAUCAUCAUCAUCGCUGAACAAAAUAGUAACUAACAAACUAUCCUAAUAGUUCUUGUGAUAGUAAGUUAUCUCUGUAUCCUUCAACAACUGGAUCUCUUUUUUUCUUUUUCUUUUCUGAAAGCGACAAACUAGACUAUUAAAUAAGAAAAGCACACACAAAAUCCCACAAAUGGCUAUAGAAGCCAUAACAUUACUGCUCAUUGCAUCAAAAAAGAAGUGAAAGAAAUGUAAGGAAAAUUCCCAUCUAAACCAUGAAAUAACUCAAACUCACCCUUCACAUCUUCUCUCUUUUGCUCUAACAUUGCUAUUCUUGGAGUUUCUGUUUCUGUUGUUGAAUGUGUUGAUAAAAGUAUUAAUGAAGUUGAGUCAUUCAAGAAUCCACUAGAAGAAUCAGCAUUCUUUAACGAAACAUGCAAAUGGAUUCUUUAUUUUCUAAUAAUCCACCACUCCUCUUCAAGGAAUAAGGCAAACAAGAUGAAGGAACAUGCAAUGAAGAGUCAGCUAUAGCAGUGGCGGAGGCGGCGGUGGUGGUGGGAAAGUGGGCGGAGGGAACAUGGUGGAGGAGCCACUCAAUGGUCUGGCCAUUAGUUUGGUGGCCGAGCUCACGAGUCAGUUGAAAGAUUCUGGUUGUUUUGCAUAUAAAGAUGGAACCUACAUGCUUUUCUUCUCUUGUUGAAGAUAUAUAUAUAUAUAUAUAUAUAUAUAUAUAUACAGCAAAAUAACAAUAAUUAUC